AAAGUUUUUUUUUUUCAAUUUUCUUAAUGUUUAUUUAUUUAUUUUUGAGUGAGAGACAGAGCGCAAGCAGGAGAGGGGCAGAAAGAGAGAGAGAGAGAAGGAGACACAGGAUCUGAAGCAGGCUCCAGGCUCUGAGCUGUCAGCACAGAGCCCAACGCGGGGCUCAAACCACAAAAGGGGAGAUCAUGACCUGAGCCGAAGUUGGACAUUUAACCGACUGAGCCAUCCAGUCGCCCUGCUGUAAAGUUUUUUAAACUUCAUUUCUGUGCUGUUCUUGCCACAGACUGGUAGCAAACACUUCAUGGACCAGCAGUGGUCUUCCAGCCACACUGAGUGGUGCUGAUUUAGAGGAUUUUCUGCCUCCAUCCUCCUCCCUCAACAGCAACUCAAGAUACUUGAUGCUUGGAUGCCUCAGCUCAGAUGGGGGUGGGCAAAUUACCCAUUAUAAUUAUUGAGCCAAAUAUCAGAGGAAAAGGCUAAGUUUUUGCACUGCUGUUUUCUUGGGGACUUCUACUGUCACCAACAGAUUUCAUACUUGUGGUAACACUUUCUUGUUGUUGAUUUUCUAUUUACCUGCUAUGUAGGAAAGAGAUUGAGCACAAUAGUAAGGCAGUAGUCCCUCCUUCUCCACAGGGGGUACAUUCCCACACCCCCAGUGGGUGCCAGAAACUGCAGGCCGUAAGAAGCCCUAUAUAGACUAUAUUUUCUUCCUAUACAUAAUACCUAUGAAAAAGUUUAAUUUAGAAAUCAGAAAUAGUAAAGGAUUAAUAACAAUAACUGAUAACAGAACAAUUAUGACAAUAUGCCGCGAUAGAAGUUACGUGAAUGUAGUGUCUCUCAAAAUAUCUCACUGUACUGUUCUUCUUGUGAUGAUGUGAGAUGACACAAUGCCCAUGUGAAGAGAGGAAGUGAGGUGGAUGACACGGGCAUUGUGAUGUAGCUCUCGGUUGCUGUUGACCUUCUGGCAAUCUGUCAGAAGGAGGAUCAUCUGCUCCUGUACCACAGUUGACCACGUGUAACCAAAACCACAGGAAGCACAACCAACCGUGGAUAAGAGGGGACAACUGUCUGUGAAAUAGAAAAGACUCAGGGGAUAAAGACCCUGCGUAUCAUAGGAAAGACCUGUUUGGAGAUUUGCUGGAGGUGACCAGUUGGGUCUUUAUCUCCUCCAUCCUCUCCAGAGAGAAUGUCAAGGAGGCUUCUGGAAACUCAGAGCUCUGUGGCUGCUCAACCCUGCUGGAAGAUGGGAGCUGUUGAUAGUACACAGAUGACUGAUAUGAUAGACAACUAGAAAAAUAGAGCUUCUGGCCAGCAUGAGGUGACCUGCCUUUCCAUACCGAGGGGCUCUUGCUUCAGCCGAGCACAUACAAGUGUUUUUUAAUGAAACUGUGCAGACUUACAGGAGGUGGGGAUAGCAAACGCACAAUUUCAUUAGACUUUUUCAAAUUGGGAAGUUGUUCCGACAGUCUCUCCACCAUGAAUACUUUCAGGAACGUGCGUGACUCUAGUGGUCCCAGCUGAAAAUCAUUGAUUCAGACUUACUUCCUUGUUUCAUCAUUGAGGAAACAGAAGCCCAGAGAGGGGAAGUAAAAUUUCCGAAGUCACCAAGUUGAGUUGAUGAGUAAAAGGAUGGUUAAAUAAUAGAAUACCUGUGUCCCCUGGGACCCACUACCCACUCCAAGGUAGAGUUGACUGGUUCAUUCUGUAGCCAGUUCUGCAGCUUGUGAAAGUUUAAAGAUCUUCAUUUCAUUUUUAAUUCUGAGUGUUUGCUCUUAGGAUACAGCUCUCAUUCUCUUGGAGUGUUAUGCCUGCUUCUCCCUCAGGCUUAAAGCUGGUCCCCGUGUCCCACAAUUAGAUCCACUCUUAUAAGCAUUUUGAGGGUCAACAAGCCAUAGAAUCACUGGCUCUGGGGAAGACAGCUGUUGUGUUGUGUUAUGUUGUGGAGACACCAAAGAAGCCCCACAGAAAGGACCAUGUAGCAAGGAACCAAGGCCACCUGCCAGUCGCCAGUGAGGAACUAAGUCCUCGUGCCAUGGCAGAAAUCGAUGCUGUGGAGGAAAAGAGAAAGCGUUCAUGCCGUGGGCUCCCAGCUCCCGUGUCCACAGCACUUGGGGGACAAGCUGGGAGCACGAAGAAGGAGUUAGACUCAUCUUGGAUACCUAACCCCCACAGCGCCUGGGGAGAACUGAGCCCUCUGUCACCCUGGCCCACUAGACAGAGAGGAAACAGCCCAGGGAGAUGAAAAGUGCUUCUCCAGGAGCCUCUCUGAGAUGUUUGCCAAGCUUGCAUGAAAACCCAGGGGAUGGAGCCUGGAGCUUCCUCUUCGAACACCACAGUGCUGACAAGUGCUGAGCCAGCCAUUCUGUCCUUUCCUGCUUCCCUGUCCUGUCCCUCUUCUUCAGUUCCAGCCACCAAGGACUGUUUCUAAGUCCUCCAAGGAAGAGAGAUGCAGAGACUUAGUCAUCUGACCAAAACCUUCGCAUGGUCCCGUCCUACAAAUAGAGACCAACUGGUUCCCCAAUUAUCAGCGAGAGAACAGAGGAAACCAGAGCUUUUCUCCCAGGGAGUUCACGUGCUGUUUGAUGUCUGGGUCCUCGUUCUCAGCCUGGGGCAUCACCUCCUCCAAGUAAAACUGGAUCAUCUCGGACAACGCUUGGCAACCCAGCAAAGGAAGCAGACCCAGCUCCCGGCCUCCCUUCUCUGAGUCACGCUGCAAGCUCGCCUCCCACACACCCCCGGGCCCUCACCUUAAAGUCCUCCAGCAAGGACCUAGUCAACAAUAUGCUGUGCAGCUGAUCCUUGGUUUGCUGCAAGAACAAAAGGAGAGUGAGCCCGAGGUUUGAGGAAAUAACUGAAAUAAAUGUCUUUCUGAUGCCCUCUUA